ensembl:lncRNA
CUCAGAGAAGGAAAUUUACGGUGCAGGCUCAGGAUGAAGAAGAGGGGGAAGAACACGUUUGACAGUUUUCUCAUACCUUUGCCAUGUGUUAUAAUAAAAACAAUAAACCUGACUACAAUAAUAUGCUAUAUCUUAUUAAAAGAUUCCAGUUUGCAAGAAAUCUGGAGUGUCUGACUCUGCACUAGAGCAACUCUUUGCUGAAGAAGAUCAUGUGCUGAGGAGGAGUCUUGUUCUACAGCAAAACACUGCAUCAAGCCUCCAUGUGAAGUGAUAUCCUCCUGUCCUUCCCUCAGAAGAGCCGGUCUUCUGCUGCUGGGUUACAGGGACUGAUGAACACAGCCUUGUUCUCAUCCACUGAUGAAGCCUUCUUCACUGGAAAGCAUAAUGCUGCAAUCAAAGAGUUGAUUAAUCAUGCGCUUGAAGAGCUGGAACACGGUUGUCUGGUGCGGACACAGCUGCGGCCAGAUUGUCCUGCACAUCCUCUCAUGUGCUGGCUUCUGUGUUUUGGGGUUCUGAUGCGUCAUCGUCAUGAUCCUCUAGAUCUCUAGACUUCUGGAUAAACAAUAUCCCCAUUCAGAAGACCGAGUUUGUUGAGCACCGCACAGCAUGCAGCAUCUGGCACAAAGGCAGGGCUCACUUCCAGGGCCUUGCAGAAGAAGAUGGAGCGCCAGCUUGUCAGCCAGUCUGUGCAUGAGUAUCAUUGGUGUUGAUGGUCUGUACUCGCCAUCUCCCAGGAUGCAUUUUCCUGCAGCUGGAUACAGGCGGCCAGUGUAAAUAGGGCUGAUCUUCAGCAGCCUGGCAUCGUACACAGACCCAGGAUACCCAACAAAGAUAUCGAGGAACUUCCCCUGGUGGUGGCCUGCAGCUGAACAGAAUGAAACUGCUUCCUGUUGAAAUAACAUUGGGGCGUCACUUGCUGCUGGUUCAAUUUGUAUGUGACAGCCAUCUAUUGUUCCAGCUACUACAAGGAAAGCUGGAGACCCAGCCAGCUAGGCAAAACCUGGUCCCACUGCCUCCAGGUCAUCUGUGGUGGGGAAGGUAAUCAGCCUCCUCAAAAUCCUGAUGACAGCCUGCUCAUUCUGUGCACAAUGUCAUGCAGCUCUUGGAUGUCGAAGGCCAGUGACAGCAGGCUGUAUGAUGCUGCUCACAGUCUGUAAAUAUGUAGGUUUUUUAGAAUAUAAUUUGAAUAGGUUACACAUUUUUGCUGAUUUAUCCAUAUAUCUAUAUCUAUCUUUAUCUAUAUACAGUGGUGUGAAAAAUUGUUGUCCCCCUUCAUGAUUUCUUAUUUUUUUGCAUGUUUGUCACACUUUAAUGUUUCAGAUUAUCAAACACAUUUAUAUAUUAGUAAAAGAUAGCACAAGUGAACACAACAUGCAGUUUUUAAAUGAAGGUUUUUAUUAUUAAAGGAAAACAAAAUCCCAAAUUACAUGGCCCUGUGUGAAAAAGUGUUUGCCCCCCUGUUAAAACUGUGGUUUAUCACACCUGAGUUCAAUGUCUCUAGCUAUAAAGCAAAUAUUAUAAGCUAUAAGCAAAUAUUAUGGGCCAGCU